rnacentral:rRNA from 1 species
AUGCUCUUGUUGAUAUGUACUCAAUGCCCAAUGGAGUGCAGGAGCAAAAUGUCGAGGGAGAGGCGAGCGGGGGCGAGAGCGGCGAGUGGCACUCGGAUGCAAAGGAGGACGAGGAGAGCGACGACCCGAGUGAUGAAGAAGAGGUCGAUUCACCUCCUCGCAGAGAAAGGAGGUCCAAGCACGCUCACGACCCGACAAGCACCCCCGACCUGGUGGCCGCACCGACUGGACAGUCUUCAAAGCGCCCUCGAACGUCUUCUCCAGUGCCGACUGAGAAGGGACCGAAACAGCUCAAGACUGCGCCGCCUCCUGUGCCGAAACCAUUGA